AUUGAACGCUGGCGGCAGGCCUAACACAUGCAAGUCGAGCGGAUGAGUGGAGCUUGCUCCAUGAUUCAGCGGCGGACGGGUGAGUAAUGCCUAGGAAUCUGCCUGGUAGUGGGGGACAACGUUUCGAAAGGAACGCUAAUACCGCACACGUCCUACGGGAGAAAGUGGGGGAUCUUCGGACCUCACGCUAUCAGAUGAGCCUAGGUCGGAUUAGCUAGUUGGUGAGGUAAAGGCUCACCAAGGCGACGAUCCGUAACUGGUCUGAGAGGAUGAACAGUCACACUGGAACUGAGAAACGGGCCAGACUCCUAAGGGGGGCAGGAGUGGGGAAUAUUGGACAAUGGGCGAAAGCCUGAUCCAGCCAUGGCGCGUGUGUGGAGAAGGUCUUCGGAUUGUAAAGCCCUUUAAGUUGGGAGGAAGGGCAGUAAGUUAAUACCUUGCUGUUUUGACGUUACCAACAGAAUAAGCACCGGCUAACUUCGUGCCAGCAGCCGCAGUAAAAC
rnacentral:rRNA from 1 species